CCAUUUAAUUAAAGCUAAAAAAGCAUAAAGUUUUACUUAUUAGGUGAUCGAAAAUACUUUUACAUUACAAUCAAAAGUGUUAAAAUAUGGCUCAAGUUAUCAUGUUUGUUGGUGCUUUGAUCAUCUUUCUUUCUCUAUUUUUGGUUGAAACCAAAAAAACUGAUAUUCCUUGUGAUUCUAGAAAUGAUUGUCCACAACAAAUAUUACCUAGAUAUGUGUUGUGCGUUAAUGGUUUAUGUAGGAUUUAUUUUCCCUGAUGAUAAAAUUUAAAAAUAAUUAUCUUUCCUGAAAUCAUAUAAUAAUAUUUGUACCUUUAUUGUGGGCUAUUAAAUAUGAAAAUAAUUAUAAUUUCAAAAUUCAUAUAAUAAUGUUUGCAUUAUGUUUCUAUUGUUGUUGUAAGCCUUAGAGGCCAAUUAUUUAUAAGAACUUGAUACUUGUAACAAAUACUUAUUUAUUAAAUAAAAUCAUUUUGUUAUUA